UUUCUCUUUUGUCUUUGGCUGAAAUCCAUGAGCCAUUUCUCCUGCUAGCGCUAGGCUAGCACUGUUUGUUUUGGUUGCAUUUACCCAGAAUACCCUGCGCUGUGGUCCACUUCCUUAUUUUGGAAGGAAUUACAACUUGAAUAAGAUGGACAGAUAAUCUGAUUCCAACUAAUUAAAUUAUGACUGGAUUAAACGGGAGUGGGUUAGGGUUAGGGUAGAUACAGAGUGAUACAGAGUAAGAUUUCAAUUUGAAUACGGUUUCAACUUCAUAAUUAGGACCAUGUUUUUAAGAGUUAAACUGCCACCUAACUGAAUGAUAUACAAGAUUAUUUUUUUUUAAAUAAGCCACUUUUAGCUGAAUAAUAUUUACAAAACAAAUUUAAUCACACUCCUUUAAAAAUAUAAAUCAGAUUUUACUUUUAGACAUGUUAAUAACCAGUCUGAUUCAGAUUGACUGGUGACUGUAACUCACUCCAACCUUUGAAAAAGCCAAGAUAAGAACAGCCCUGAAAGCUUAAAUAGCAAUUAUCUACAUUUGUCUUUUAUUUCUGGUGUUUUUUUCAACUUCAAAAAUACUUUAUUAAUCCUAAAGGAAAAUUAAAUGCAUUCAACUCAUUAUCCAAGAUUCUCCAAAGAGUUGUUAUACAUGCUAAUUAGCAAGCGCUAACAGUAUCUUUAAUGAUCUGAUGUACUGUAUGCCCAUGUUUUUAUAUCGGUGAAUCUAAACUCCGAAUAUUCCCAUCACAACCUCUUAGAGGUCUGAACUGGAACAAAGUAACAAAAAUUAGCCCAGAAUUCAGGUUUAUGACGCACCGCACCUUUAAUUUGUGUCCAACAUGAAGUGUCUUUGUAUCAUUCAAAAACUAUUUCAAUGCUCCAUUAAAUCAAACAACAACAAUUGUUUCGACUUAUCUGUGUUUGGACAUUUUAAUAAGAUAAUUACUGUAAAACAACACGUGAUAUUUUUACCAAGUCGCCCAUCCCUAAUCUCAGAGCAGACAGCAGUAACAACAGGUUUAAUGAAAGCACAAAGCUGGCAGCAGCUACACAACUUUAACAUUAUAAAACACUUUAUCAAGCUUCACAGUAAGUUUAAAACGGAAGAUAUGUGUAAGAAAAAGUAGAUUUUAACAACA